CCUACGGGCGGCAGCAGUGAGGAAUAUUGGUCAAUGGACGAGAGCCUGAACCAGCCAAGUAGCGUGAAGGAUGACUGCCCUAUGGGUUGUAAACUUCUUUUAUAUGGGAGUAAAAUGUUCCACGUGUGGGAUUUUGUAUGUACCUUAUGAAUAAGGAUCGGCUAACUCCGUGCCAGCAGCCGCGGUAAUACGGAGGAUCCGAGCGUUAUCCGGAUUUAUUGGGUGUAAAGGGAGCGUAGGUGGAUUGUUAAGUCAGUUGUGAAAGUUUGCGGCUCAACCGUAAAAUUGCAGUUGAAACUGGGAGUCUUGAGUACAGUAGAGGUGGGCGGAAUUCGUGGUGUAGCGGUGAAAUGCUUAGAUAUUACGAAGAACUCCGAUUGCGAAGGCAGCUCACUGGACUGCAACUGACACUGAGGCUCGAAAGUGUGGGUAUCAAACAGGAUUAGAUACCCUUGUAGUC
rnacentral:rRNA from 1 species